GACGAACGCUGGCGGCGUGCUUAACACAUGCAAGUCGAACGGAAAGGCCCUGCUUUUGUGGGGUGCUCGAGUGGCGAACGGGUGAGUAACACGUGAGUAACCUGCCCUUGACUUUGGGAUAACUUCAGGAAACUGGGGCUAAUACCGGAUAGGAGCUCCUGCUGCAUGGUGGGGGUUGGAAAGUUUCGGCGGUUGGGGAUGGACUCGCGGCUUAUCGGCUUGUUGGUGGGGUAGUGGCUUACCAAGGCUUUGACGGGUAGCCGGCCUGAGAGGGUGACCGGCCACAUUGGGACUGAGAUACGGCCCAGACUCCUACGGGAGGCAGCAGUGGGGAAUAUUGCACAAUGGGCGGAAGCCUGAUGCAGCAACGCCGCGUGCGGGAUGACGGCCUUCGGGUUGUAAACCGCUUUCGCCUGUGACAAAGCGUGAGUGACGGUAAUGGGUAAAGAAGCACCGGCUAACUACGUG
rnacentral:rRNA from 1 species